GACGAACGCUGGCGGCGUGCUUAACACAUGCAAGUCGAACGGAAAGGCCCUGCUUUUGUGGGGUGCUCGAGUGGCGAACGGGUGAGUAACACGUGAGUAACCUGCCCUUGACUUUGGGAUAACUUCAGGAAACUGGGGCUAAUACCGGAUAGGAGCUCCUGCUGCAUGGUGGGGGUUGGAAAGUUUCGGCGGUUGGGGAUGGACUCGCGGCUUAUCAGCUUGUUGGUGGGGUAGUGGCUUACCAAGGCUUUGACGGGUAGCCGGCCUGAGAGGGUGACCGGCCACAUUGGGACUGAGAUACGGCGCAGACUCCUACGGGAGGCAGCAGUGGGGAAUAUUGCACAAUGGGCGGAAGCCUGAUGAAGCAACGCCGCGUGCGGGAUGACGGCCUUCGGGUUGUAAACCGCUUUCGCCUGUGACGAAGCGUGAGUGACGGUAAUGGGUAAAGAAGCACCGGCUAACUACGUG
rnacentral:rRNA from 1 species